AGCAUUGAGAGGACCUUUCCCUAGUACGAGAGGACCGGGAAGGACGCACCUCUGGUGUACUAGUUAUCGUGCCCACGGUAAACACUGGGUAGCCAAGUGCGGAGCGGAUAACUGCUGAAAGAAUCUAAGUAGUAAGCCACCCCAAAAUGAGUGCU
rnacentral:sRNA from 1 species